rnacentral:rRNA from 1 species
AGCAGCCGCGGUAAUUCCAGCUCCAAUAGCGUAUAUUAAAGUUGUUGCAGUUAAAAAGCUCGUAGUUGAAUUUCGGGGUUAGUAGGUUGGUCAUGCCUCUGGUAUGUACUGGUCUCACUGAUUCCUCCUUCCUGAUGAACCUUAAUGCCAUUAAUUUGGUGUUUUGGGGAAUUUGGACUGUUACUUUGAAAAAAUUAGAGUGUUUAAAGCAAGCUAACGCUUGAAUACAUUAGCAUGGAAUAAUGAAAUAGGACGUUCGAUCCUAUUUUGUUGGUUUCUAGGAUUGACGUAAUGAUUAAUAGGGAUAGUUGGGGGCAUUAGUAUUCAAUUGUCAGAGGUGAAAUUCUUGGAUUUAUUGAAGACUAACUACUGCGAAAGCAUUUGCCAAGGAUGUUUUCAUUAAUCAAGAACGAAAGUUAGGGGAUCGAAGACGAUCAGAUACCGUCGUAGUCUUAACCAUAAACUAUGCCGACUAGGGAUCGGAUGAU